UGCUCGCUUCAGCAGCACAAUACUUACAUUGGAACAAUACAGAGAAGAUUAACAUGGCCCCUUUGCAAGAAUCACACACAAAUUCGUGAACCGUCCCAUAUUAAA